GAUCGCCGGCGGUGAGCACGCGCACCUUGGCGUACCCUUCGGCGGCGGGCGCGGGCGUGACGAUGCGCAUCCCGACGACGUACUCGUGCACGGCGCUUCCAUUACCCCAGAGCGAGCUGCCGUGCGCGCCCGUGCCGAGCAUGCCGCCGACGGUGAGCCCCCACCAGUACGGCGCGUAGGGCAGGGCGAGCCCGGCCUUGGCCGCCUCCGCGACGAGCUGCCGCAGCGUGACGCCGCUCUCCACCGUGACGUGCCCGGACGCGGCGUCGACGGACACGACGCGGUCGAGGCGCCUGGUGCUGAUGACGAGCCCCUGGCCAUCUCCGGCCCCGGGGCACGCCAGCGGCGGGAUGCUGUGGGAGUAGCGGGUGGCGGCCUUCAUCUUGGUCCCCGACGCGGCGCCGCGCGCCACGGCGCGCACCAGCUCGUCCUCCGAGGUCGGGAACGCCGCGCCCGCGGCGCGGCACGUCGAGCGGUCCGGGAACACGCCGUACGCGCUGGACACGGUGCAGUCGGACGUGCCGCCGCCGGACGAGCACUGCACGGGGUCCGGCGGCGGGCUGGCGAAGGCGGCUCCACGGUCGGAUACGGGGCCGAGGAGCAGGACGGUGGUGAGGGUGGCGAGGACGAGCGGCAGCAUGCUUCGCUUAACGGUGUCGAGGUAUUUGAGGCUGAGGACGACAGCUCCGGCGACCGGAGUAGUUGUUGUUGUGCCCAUCGUAUAGAAGUAGAAUGCAGGCCUUCGUUCGAAGCAGCUAGGUAGCAGCUGCCGGAGCGAAGGUUUGCACUUUGCAGGGAGCAUAUGGCAGCUCAUCUAUAUAUGGAACAGCCAGUAACUACUCCCUCCGUCCCAAAAUACGUAUAGUUUUUGUUUUCUAAAAAAUAACUUUAAUUAAAUAUAUAUAUUAAAAAAUAUUAAUAUUUAUAUUACAUAAUUAAUAUCACUAUAAAGAAUUUUAAAUCUAGUUUUUUAAUAAAUUUAUUUAAAGAUACAAAUAUUACACGUAUUUUUUACAAAUCAAAUCUGGGCCUUGUUUAGUUCUAAAAAGAUUUCAGAAUUUGGUACUGUAGUAUUUUUAUUUUUAUUUGACAAAUAUUAUCCAAUCAUAGACUAACUAGGCUCAAAAGAUUCAUCUCGUGAUUUACAGACAAACUGUGUAAUUAGUUUUUGUUUUCGUCUAUAUCUAAUGCUUUAUGUAUAUGACCUAAGAUUUGAUGUGACGGAAAAUCUUAAAAAGUUUUGAUUUUCGGAGUGAACUAAACAAGACCCAGACUUACGAUAUAUAUAUAUAUAUAUAUAUAUAUAUACACACAUACGGUAGCGCUAUUCUACACCCUAGGUGUAGAAUAUUAUUCUACACCGCAAGUCAAAACCGAGUAGAAAAAAUACUGAGCAGUACUGGAGAGUGUUCAGUAUUAACUUGUUCAACACUCAGGACCACGAAAUACUGAACAAUACUGAAACACGAAUACUGAGUGAUACUGAAUUUUGCUCAGUAUAACACUUUGGUGUAGAAUAGUAUUCUACACCUAGGGUGUAGAAUAACACUUAUAUAUAUAUAUAUAUAUAUAUAUAUAUAUAUAUAUAUAUAUAUAUAUUGGACAAAUGAACAUAUUCUUGGACAUGGAAAGACAAUAUGAUGCACACUGCGCGCGGGAUGCUUGUAUAUACUGUACAAAUUGCCUCAUCAUACUGUCUUUGCCAUGUUCCCGGAAUGUGUGUGUAUGUGCAUGUGCAUACAUACGUACGCUUGGUGUGGUGUGUUGUCAAAUCAAGAGGUAUUGGUACGUAUAAAGGAACAAACGGUGUGCAUCGUCUGUACUGUACCCAACGUGUGGCGCUGCUACCUUCUUUAGUCGAUAGCAUAUCCAUAUAUAGCUAAUGGCGGGGCUUGGAACAUAUUUUCUUGGUUCCUGUGUACCUGUCAGUAGUGUGUGUGCUGCUUGUGUACCGAGAGGACGAGGAGUACCCGCACAAAUUUUUGCAAAAUAUAUAGAUAUUGUAGUAUUUUUGUUUGUAUUUGACAAAUAUUAUCUUAUCAUAAACUAAAUAUGUUCGAAAGAUUCAUCUUGUAAAUUAUAAGCAAAUUGUUCAAAUAGUUAUUUUUUAUCUAUAUUUAAUGUUCUAUGCAUGUGCCAUAAAAAUUAAUGUGAUGCAAAAUUUUGAAAAAAAUUGUAAAAUUUUUUAGGAAGUAAACAAGGCCGGGAUUGAUCGGAAUGCUUUCGCCUUUCCACAAUACAUUUGAUAUAUUGAUCCUUUUGAUAUAUGGAUCCUUUUGAUAUAUGCGCCACCAGACGGACAGCAGUCACAUGUGGAACAUGAAAAGCUAGUUUUCAAUACAACAAAUGUACUAUGACAGAGAAGGUGAUCAAUUGCCUAGUAGUAGUGUAGUACCACACGUAAAAAUGUUCAAACUUAACUCAAACUCCAUCUCGAUAUGACAGCGACCCCUUUUAUGAGUGUGAUACGAUCUAGUAUUGAUUGUAACAGGAUUUAUUUAUGAAUUAAGCAGGAAGCUACAACUACGUAAAACAUGGAGUAUAACUGGACUUUGGAGCUAUCCCUUGCUUGUUUUCCAGUUUAUACUAGUCUUGAGUUCUGAAAAAAAAAUGCUUAUCCUGCACUACAAGCUAAGUGAUGAAAGAUGGCAAUCACAAUGCAUACGUACAUAAGCUACACAUGGACUGCCCCAUAGUCCAUAUCACAAUGCAUGGCCACCUUGAUUUGGUCUCGAUGAAUUGACCUUGAUUUCGUCCCGAUGAAUUGACCUUAAUUAAUUACUAGUUAUCUUCAACUAUAGUUGCUGUUAUAUAUGGGGCACUAGCACUACCUUUAAAUAACUCCGAUAUAAUCCAUGCACGCAUGCCACUGGAACGAACAAUGGUCUCAGCUAGCUAGUGGUUGAGAGUGGAGUAUAUAUGCUGCUUUUGGGACACAUAUGCAUGUCGCAUCAUGAAUGUCACAAUGUGCAGAUCGGUCUGCGAAAAAGAGAAGUGGAGGACACCUCUCCAGCAUGCCAUGCACCUCUACCUUUCGGCGAAACAUGCAUGUUAGUGUACCCUUUUCAGUAAAUGUUUUUGCAAACUAGCUAGACAACAAGAUAAAGUAAUAGUGUGGGUGACCCUAAUGAUGGUUAAUUAGUUAAAAGCAUAUACAUCAUAGACUAUUAUAAGGAGCUAUUAAUUUGUUCCACAGCAGGAUAUAGUCUCCUGUGUGGAGGACCAGAUUCAUGACAUAUCAUCUCAGGUCUCACAUAGGCAAAUGAUGUAGGAUGAAACAGUUUUCUCACCUCUUCUUUCACUGAGAAACAAGUUAUUAGAGAUGAAGUUGGAUGGAAUAAUAAGCUAGUCACUUGGUCCUGAUGGAUUUCCAACUUCUUCGAAAUUUUCUGGGAAAUAAAAAAUGGAGGAUAUUUUGCAUGUGGUGCUCUCGAAGGAUUGUUUUUGAAGAUCACUUUAUUCAACCUUAAUUUUGGAGCAACUACUCUUUCUUCGGAAAAUUGAAGAAGCAACUGAAAUCAUAUCCAAGGUUGUCUACUUAACGUUAGCUUCAUUCUUUUACCAAGGUUUUCGAUAAUAGACUGUGGAGUGACUAGUAAAUGUAGUACAACCAUCUCAGACGACAUUCAUGCCAGGUUAGAAUAUCAUGAAGGGGUACUAAUACUACACAAAACAGUCCUUGAACUACAUAAUAAGAAACCCAAUGAAGCAAUCAUCAAAGUUUAAUUUCAAAAGGUCAAAUAUAAUUUUCUUUUCCACAACAGAUGUUUGAAUGAAAGGAUAAAUAGAUACCGAGGUAUAUAUAUGUGGUUGUGAAAUUGGCUCAUACUCAUUUUGUUAGUUCAUCAAUCAUCAGGAUAACUCCAAAGCAUUGACAAGAGUAGAAUCGAGGAAUGCUUCAAGAUAAAACUAAGCACUUGAAAGGCCCAACAUAUUUUUUGUGGGUCUUGUCUAGGCUUUUGAAUUCAAUGCUUAGCAAAUCUAUAUAUCUAUAACCCUUAUAAAGCUAAACCUUACUAGACAUUGUAUUUUUUUAUGCAAGGUCCAUGUCAAAAUUAUUCCCCACAAAGUGUCCCACUAACUUGCAAUCUUUUAUUCAAGCUAUCCAUGUCAUCCUAUAUUGAUUACAAAAAAUAUCCACAUCAUCUCUAUUAUAUGAAAUAUAUUUAGUCUUUAAUCUAUUAACGUAAAAGUCAUCUACUACGCUAUUUGUUUCAUCAUAUAUUCUUCUAUAGUAUGAUAAAAUAUUCUAUUGGGUUUUUUCUAUUAUCUUACAAAUUUUUUUACUAGAUCUGAUACAAUAAAAUAACAUGCAAGUAAAAUUCAUAUAUAUAUAUAUACACACACAAAAUAAUGUAUACUAAUGACAUAUAUAUACAUAUAACAUAUAACAUAUAUAUAUAUAUAACAUAUAUAUAUACAAAUUUUUUUACUAGAUCUGAUACAAUAAAAUAACAUGCAAGUAAAAUUCAUAUAUAUAUAUAUAUAUAUAUAUAUAUAUAUAUAUAUAUAUAUAUAUCCCGCAAAGGCAAUGUGCAAGGUAUGCUUCUAGUAUUUUUAAAAAUAAAACACAAAGGAGGUAGCUCUUGGCCUGACUUCAUCUUUAUCACACAAUUUACCUUCAUGUACAGUGAGUUAUGUAUCUCUGUAGCAUCCUUUUCAACAUGUUAUUUAUGUUUUCCUUACAUGUUAUACCAUGUCGGUCAUUGUAUUUGGAAGCCUUCCAAGAAAUAAUUGAUUUGGCCAAGAGUAAGGAAAUUGUCAUAUUUCUUGUGACUACGAUGGGACCCCGCCAAAAUUCUAUGACCCUCAAAAGUCAUAUAUAUAUAUCUUCUGAAGUAAAUAAACCGAGUUGAAAACAGUAAUUCCCUAUACUUUUAAUAUUCCUUCAUCUAAUGCCAACUUCCAAUUUAAUAUUUCAUCAGAUGCAUCAAGUUGUUCAAAAAUAUUGCUGAAAAUUUUUAAAACUUCGAUUAUCAAUGGGUGCACAUGUAGCAAAAGUAUGUUCCAUAACUCUUUGGUACAUGAAACAAAACAAAUAAAUGGUGCAAUUGUAGAGAAUAGGAGGGGGUGUUUUAACCAAAGGGGCAUGUGCCCUCCAUGUUGAUCAGUGCUCUGCAGGAGAGAGACAAUAUGGAUGUGUGCAUGGCGAGAAGGUCCACACAACUUGAAUAAAACUAGAGAUUCUAUUGGCCGCAAUUUGGGAUUUUAGACAAGGUGCAUUGGUAGUUUGUUACACGUGCAACGUCUAGUAUAAGAAAAAGUUGUUGCAACUUUGGAUGGACAACGAUAUAGGCAUAAUUGCCUCAAAAAAUGAUUUCUUGUCUGUCAUUUCAAAGUGAAGUUCUAAUUGUAUAAAAUUACAUAUGACAAGAAUUUUAUAUAAUCUUCAUGUUAAUAUAAAUAAAUUUAUACUAGUAAUUCUUCUUGUUGUGAAAUGUUGGGGGGCGGCAUGGCCCCUGCCAGCCCCCCUUAGCUCCGCCAUUGAGAUUAGGUAUACACAGUGGGGCAGUAUCGUGAGGACAGUUCUCCUACAGUUUCCAAGGCUUGUAUUAUUGAGGCAUUUCGGGAUGUAAGAGCCUAGUGCCGCUUUAAGAAGGUUGCAACAAUAGUUUACGAUAUGUGGAGCAUGUGGAUCUCAAACACAAAAUUUAUAGAUCCAAACUUCAACAAUGUCUCUUUCGUGAGGUACAACACAUCAAAAGCUCGAGUUGAGAGCCUUGUAGAGAUUGUUGUUGGACUAGUUACAUAUUCAUCACUUCUUUUUUAUCACAAAAGGUGUUCUAGAAAAAGCAUGGCUAUCAUUAGUUCAGAUUCAUUUGCCAAUAAUGAUAGCAAAAAAACCACAUUGCCAAGUGAGGCAUCCUUUGUUAUACUAAAGAUUAAAGAUGUUUAGGUGCCUAUAUAGAUCCCCUAAUUAAAAAUAAAUGUCUGCUAAACAAAUAUAGUGGCUAUUUAAGUUAUCUAAUGAACAAGGGACAUAACAAACCUUGCUUAGAAAUAAGUAUUUGUGUUCAAAGACAUUAUCAUAAGUAGUCUAAACCAAAUGAUUUGCAUUUUGUGGAAAGGUCUAUUAAAGUUCAACAAUUUUUGGUUGUGGGACUUUCAGAGUAAAAAGGAUAUGGCUCCCAGCCUAGAUUAUAGAAAGAUACUUUGGUAGUUUAUAGAUCCUUUACGGAGUUAAGAAGCAGUUCUUUAACCUAUAUAAUAUAGGAAAAUAUCCUCGUGUCAUAAUCAGCUAUUUUAAGAAAUGAUUGCUUGGCAAAUCCUAGUAGCAAAUAUAUGCAACAUUCUUUUCAUAAACAAGAGCAACAUAUGCACAUGGGACUCACACAUUCAUGGCCAAUUUUUUGGUAUGUUGCAUGUAUCAAUAUUUGAUGAACCAGGGCAUUCCUUUCUCACAUAAGUCUAUUUGAAAGUUGAAACUCCCUAUAAAAUUAAAGUCUUCCUUUGGUUUCUUCAUAGGGAGUUAUACUAGAACAAAUAAUCUAACUAGAGAAAUUGGUUAGGCAGCCAAAAGUGUUAUUUGUGCUAUCAUAAUAAAAAUAAUAAAGCAUCUUUUAUUUUAUUGUCAUCAUUCAAGAUCUAUUUGGAGAUUUUUUAGAUGGCUAAUUGUAAGGUCCAAAUGGCUAGAGGGGGGGGGUGAAUAGCCUAUUUAAAAUUUCUACAAACUACACUAAGCAAGUGAGUUAGUAAAACAAAUGGCGAAGCAAUUCUAGCACUAGCUCAACUAAGAUAUGCAAGCCACCUAUACAAACUAGUACGAGGCUAAACACUAAAGCACAACAACAAGAGAAGGCUAGCUACACUCCUAAACAAGAAGACUAAACUAAACAAGCUAAACAACUAGCAAGGUAUACAAGUAAGUAAUGGAGUGUAGAGUGAUUGUUAUACCAACGUUGUAGAGUAGAGAUAUAUCCAACCAAUCACUCACAAUCACAGGAGAAUCCUCGGCAAGAGAUGACACAAGAUUUUUUACCGAGGUUCACUUGCUUUCCGGCAAGCUACUCCUCGUUGUGGCGAUACACCCACUUGAUGGAUCACGAGCUAAUUGGCAAUCCAAAGCCAAACCCUCAGCGGGUGCCGCACAUCCACUCACAAGAUGGGGAUCCUCCAAGCCACGAGCAAUCCACUAGAGUAGCCAAUUGCGAUCUCCCGCGGGGAAGGCUCAAGAACCCCUCACAAAUCACUUGGUGAGGCUCGAAACAAUCUCCAAUCACGAGCUCAACACCACCGCUGCUCCAAGCCAUCUAGGGCGUCGGGAAACACCCAAGAGUAACAAGAAAUCCGCAGCAAACUCAAGUAUCAAGUGCCACUAAAUGCAACUCUCAAAGCAAUGCACUUGAAUCUCACUCAAUCUCACUAGGAUGAGCAAUCAAGCAAGGAGAUGAGUGUUCUCUAGCUCAAAGUAUGUCUCAAGUAUUCAAAUGUGCAAGAGUUAGCCUCCCAAAGCCGGCCACCUUCUAUUUAUAAGCCCCUCAAAGAAACUAGUCGUUGACUGUUUUCACUGGGCUAAAAACGGGGGCACCGGACGCUACUAAGUGAGCACCGGACGCUCAACUCCCUGCGUCCGGUGCACUAGAGUUGGCCACGUGUCCGUCCUGAAACUCGCGUGUCAGAUCCUAACGGUCACCUGCGGAUCACCGGACGCUCUGCAGGUCCACAUCGGACGCGUCCGGUGCACACUGGACUCAUGCGCAGAGAGUUCCGCAAACCGCAGGGUCACCGGACGCUAAGCACCGGUAGCGUUUGGUGCUCACCGGAUCCAUGCGCAGAGAGGGUCGCAAAACCCCCGCACACCGGACGCUAACCACCGGACGCUCUCAGAGUGCGUCCGGUGCUCAACCCUAGCAGGGUCAAGCACACCGGACUCUGAGGCUAGCGUUCGGUGCCUCCGCACUCAGCGUCCGGUGAGUGUUUUCUCACUGAGAAACACUCCCGCGACUUCUCCAAAUUUCCCACCGGCGCAAUAGAAAAUAUACAAUUAUUUUUCUCAAAAGCGCUGAAUCCCGCCUCGCAAGCUCGGCGGGAGGGAGAGAGGAACCCACACCCCUCUCAACCUUAGGAAAACCACCUCCUUUGCAAAAGUGCUAACACCAACAAGUGUCCACCACCAAAGUGCAUGUGUGUUAGCUUUUCACAAACAUUUUCACCAAAGGAGUUAAGUUAGCACUUUACUAGAUCCUAAUGCAUAUGCUCAAGAUAUGGACCUAGUAGCACUUGAUUCGAGAGAUGACCGUGAUUUCCCCUCUUGAUAGUCGGCUAUCUAUCCUAAACCCGGUCAAUCACUUCUCUACUCAUCUUAGACCGGCAAAAGUAAAACCCUAUGUUUAUAACUUUGCCUUGAUAACUUUGCUCCUUGUCUAUCACCAUGAUCUCCACAUCAUGCUUCAUCUCUUUGUAAUCAUGUGGCCACCUUUCCAUGCCACCAUGCACCUUCAUCACAUGUAUUGCUAUGCCUAACUCAAAUCACUUAAACACAAGGCAUUAGCAACUUGGUGUCAUUAAUUACCAAAACCAAACUUGGGCUUUCACUAAUGAAUUAACACCACCGAGAUCGCUAUCUCAUAUGCUAGGAGGUUGGCUUAUUGGCAUAAGAAAUAAGGAUAAAAGAGAUAUCUUCAUUGGUGCGGCUAUUCUUUGUUGCACAAUUAAGUGUUGUUGCAUUGACACUAUGUGUGAGAAAAGAUAAGAGAAAAUUACAUGUAUGACCUCUAAAAAACUAUGGCUUCCUUAGGCUCUUUUUUCUGAACAUACCUAUAAGGACAGAACGAAAAUUCAGAAAAAAAAAGAGCCAUGUAAAGAAGCCAUAGUUUCAUGAAGGUCAUACAGGUAAUUUUCUCAAAAGAUAAUUCCAUGCCUUCUCUACCUUUAGGAGAACUAAUUGGUUGCGGUUUUCUGCAUCGUUGCAAGGGGAUACCAUUUAUUUCUUGGCAUGUUUCAGAUUUUAAGGUUGUUGCUAUGGACCAAAAUUGCCCAAGAAUAGAUAGAGGAACAAGACAAGGAAUUUGCUUUUGGUGUUUGUCUCUUCAUUCAUGCAUCCUCACCGCACCCAUUUUAUUCGUUUUUUGUAUUGACAAUGUGAAGUGGGCCGAGUGAUAUAUGCCCAGUGGACUUCCACCAAAAUAUCAUGCAGCGACGAUCUGGGCUACGGCGAGGUCACAGUUCUCGUGAUCGUGCCGGUGCAUGUUCAAAAUUGCACGCUGGACUCGCGGCCCACUUCGUUUAUUUGGGCUUUUAAGCCCACAAGCACACCCAUUUUCUAACUUUGCUAAAGAAAAACAUUUUCUAAUAACAUUUACGUCCUCAUUUUAGAAGCACGGCACGGAGCCUCCUCAUCUCGGCUCUUGCUCCCCAUCCGUCCAUGGCGAUGCCGCCGAGCCGUCCGUGGGCGGAGCUGCAGCACGACCUCCUGGUGGCGAUCGUGGCCCGCGUGGGCGUGCCGGACCUGCUCUCCGGCGGCGCCUCCCGCGCCUGCUCUUCGUGGCGGGCCGCGGCGCGGGACCCGCUCGCGUGGCGCCGCGUCGACCUCCGCGAUUGGGUCGCCCUCACCUCGGGCCGGCGCGCCGCGAGACCGGGACACUCCAGCUCUCGCGUACCCGUACACGCCGCGCUCUUCGGCAUCCUGGAGGUCGCCGCCAAGUUGGCCGAAGGGCGGAUCGAGGCCGUGCUGCUCCCCGAGUUUGCUGAUGAGGACCAUCUCUUGUUCCUCGCUGAGAGGUGAAAUUUCUUCUCCCUAUCGCUUUGAUCCUGUCUGGCUGUUUCCCGUGAGGAAAUGCCCGUUGACCUUUUAAUUAGCACCUUAUUGAUGCUAAAAGUUAGGUUAUGGUACUAGAACUAGGAGGCGUUGUAUAUUCGCAUCAGAUCCUCCCGAAUUUGCUUAUUUUAAACAUACCUUUCAUUGUACGUGUACGUGUAUGUGUAUGUGUAUGUGUUUCUUUUCAUUUCUAUAGAUAGGUGCCAGAUUCCUGUAAGCUUGCAUAUGGGUUCUUUGCUGAUUUUCUUAAGUUUUUGCAAUGUUCUUUUGUAAUGCGUUAUCGCAGAGAAAAUAUAUGUGAAUUGUAGUUUCACUUUCUCUGUAGUGAUAACAAUCUGAAAAAGAUGGUGAGUGUACCUGUACCGAUUUCUAUGUUUAUUAUAUUUAGUUGGAACAGCUGUUUCUUAUUGACAUUAUGCAUUUACCUGAUGAUAUGAUACUGACAUUGAAGAGAUGUAAUGUUUCAAGGAAUAAUGUUGCUUGGUCGUUUGGUCCCAGUGGGUAGAAAAUAAAGAUCUGAAAUUUUCUGCGAAAAGAUUUAUGGCCUUUUUUUUGGGUAACUCAUGGUGAAGCUUCUAGCACUGAUAGCUUAGGAACAGCCACACUAGUUAAUGAACUUGCAUUCUGAAUGGCCAGUCAAAAGCAAUCACAAAAUUAGAAUAAAAAAGAUAUGUCUAAACUGAAGAUAUUGUAUGAGAAUUUGGUAGGCUGUGCAUGUGUGGCAAUUUGUGGUGCAAUGUUGAAGCUACUUUUGUGGCCCCCUUUUUCUGUAGUUUUCAAGGUCAGCUUUAUGUAUGCAAAUGAGUUUUCUUUAGACUAGAAAUCCAGUUGUAGCAAAGUUACCUAUCUCUACUUAGUAUAUAUUAAUAUGGUAGUGCCUUGUAAGCCAUGCGCAAUUAUAACAUAGUAUAUGUGUGUUGCACUAGUAUGCUACUGCUGUCUGCCCUCUUCUCAUAGUCCUUUUUUGUCACACAUCCAUCACUGUAUACAAGUAUAUAUUUGGUCUACAACCUUCAAUUGCAUCCCAGUAUUGUGCCUAUUCCUCCUUAAAGCCCAGCCCCUCUGUUGUUAGGGUUUUUUUGAUCCUAGCCAUUACAAUUUUUCAACUUUGGAGAUAUGCCAUUACAAUUCACCUAUUCUGAAAUUUGCCAUUAUAAUUCUUGUUCUACUUUAUCUUUGCCAUUUUCUACGUAUUCUAGACACUUGGGUCCAUUGUCAGGUCAUAUACAUAUACAUAUUUUUUGGAUGGACCAAAACACCCCUGCUUCUUCUCUCUUAUCACUCACUGACGUGUGGGACUCACUGACGUGUGGGCCUCACACGUCAGCUUCUCCUUCAAUCUUCAGCUAUCCUUCAGGACAGCGUCCAACGAGAUGGGAGGGGCAGGCAGACACCGCAGGAGGCGCGCGCGCGCCCGACCUCGUGAACGCGAGCUCCAUCAGACCUCUCCCCGACGCUAGCAGCCAUGGCCUGCGGUCGCUUGAACGACUACGUCAGCAAGCUGUUCGACCUCUCAGCCAUCAACGCCGAGCACUUUUCUGCUUUGCCUUGUCCCGAGGCCUAACGCCUUCAAUGCCACACGCAAGUGGACGCCCGAGCCAUUCCCUAGAAGCUUGCCCAAGCCCCGGCAGAGCCAUUGCCUGCUGCACGCCAUGCAACAAUAAAAGGCCGUCGCCACCAUCGUUGCUGACUUCCAGCUCGCGACCAAAUUCAUCCCAACUAGACCAGCCUUUUCUAAUUCCUCGCACAAAUGGCUGCGCCCGGUUGUUAGCUAGCCCCUGGACGUGAUCUCAUCGCAAACCAUCAAGGGUAAGCGAUGAAUUUUGAGUUCUCACUGAUGCUGUCGCCAUGGCCGCCGGAGCAGAGCUCCUGCUCGCUAACCCGACCGGCCGCUGCACGAGCUCGCUAGCCUGGCCUCCCACACUGAUGCUCUGGCCGCACGCUGUAGCUGCUCGCGUGCCCAGCAUCCCGCACCGACGCCAUGGCCACACACAGACGAGCCGCCGCCGUCGUGGCCCUACGAAGAUGGUUGGAGGUUGAAGGAGAAGCUGACGUGUGCGGCCCACAUGUCAGUGACUGAUGUGAGAGAAAAGAAGCGAGGGUAUUUUGGUCCAUACGAAAGAUGUGUAUAUGUAUACGGUCUGACAAUGGGUCUAAUUGUCCGGAAGACGUAGAAAAUGGCAAAGACUAGAUAGAUCAAGAAUUAUAAUGGCAAAUUUCAGAAUAGUUGAAUUAUAAUGGCAUAUCUCCAAAGUUGAAGAAUUGCAAUGGCUAGGAUCAAAAAAACCCCUGUUAUUACCCUGCACUUCGUCAUUGUUCUUGAUUUUUCUUCUUCUCAUGCAUUCUUUCGCUCCAUUUCUUGCUUUUCCAAUUCUCUCCAUCUCUUAGACCACCUUAAUAUAUACAUGAACAUCGAGUUGCAUACCUCUUUAGACAACUCUGCAAUUUGCAUCUGCUUUCCUACUCCUGCCUUUUGCUUGUUUUUCACAUGGCUAGCCUUGUCACCCUACUUCUUCUCAAAACCUUCCCUUGUUUGCCACUAACCAGUUGAAACCAGUGCGUUUCAGCAUAUUCACAGCUUGCUUCUUUGUCACUCCAAGUCAUUUUAAACAUUGUAGUAGCAGUUUGCUACAGUCUUGCUGUACUGCAUAUCUAAUUGUAGCUAAGUGUAUUACAUUGGAGAGUAAAAAUUAACAGCAUGAAAAGGGCAUCAGUGUUCAUGAAUUUGAUUGCAGAUGGCUGCAUGGCUCUUUUGUUAUUAGAACAUACAGCAUGUAAUGGUGAUUCAGUUGUGCAAGUCAGAGAAAAGGCAUUCUUAGUUUCUAUCAUGUUGUUUUUUUGUAGUUUAUUUUAUUAUUUGGUUUUUUUAUUAUAUAUAUUGUGUUUCCUUUCACCAUUUUGUUACUAUCGUAUUAUCUGUAAUCUAACAUGUAUUUAAUACCUUUUUAUUGGCUUUGCGUCGAAGAAUGAAUAUCCUCUUAUAUACUAAUAAGAGGUAGCACUGGAGAUAGUUGGAUCAUAUAGUACUUAAGUCAUGGAAAUUGACACCAUUUACAACUCAGGAACUAAAAAGCUACAUUCAGAAAUUUAGCAGCGGUCUAAAUAAUUACCAGUGACACAGGGAUUCAACCAAUAGAAAUUUGAAGAUCAGAUUCAUUGGCUCUUUGUGCCUUACAUGUCAUGUAUGCUAUGCGCAUUGUAAAUUUUGAUUCAUGGGUAUGAAUCCCAUCUAUCAAAUUUGAAAUAGAUUAGUUGCUAAUUCUAAUGGACACGAGUAUAUGACACACAAGUACCUCAACCUGUAACUUCUCACUGAAACAUGUAUGAUCUAUUCAUAUGAGAAGUGUUUCAAUCUGACUGUUGUAUUGCAGAAUAUAGAUCAAAAACACCUUGUACGUUAAAGGGAACAGAGUAGCAAGGUUGAAUUGAAAGUAUAAAAUAGAGUGCUUAUGUGCUCUAGUCUACUCCUGCAUCAUGCAGACAUGUCCAAAUGGGUUUCCUUUGAUUCGUAGGUGGCAAAAGGACGUUCAAAUUCAGUAUGCCGCUGGAAUGUUACUUUCCAUCAUGUACAGAUCUAAUCUAUCUUUUGUUUGGAUCAACUAAGAUAUUACACUGUGCCUCUGCAGUUCUAGGACACCACAAUAAACUUUGGUUAAGAUUUCCUUCAGUCAUGUCUUGUAAAAAAAAAGAUUUCCUUCAGUCAUGUUAUAUUACAAGACUUCUAUUGUGUUUCAAUAGAAUUAAGAUAUUUCAUUGGGUUAUUUGAUCAAUGCAAUGGACAUGCUGAACUGCUUGUAUUUGUUAUAGAUAUGCUUUUGGUGUCACUAUUUUUGGUAAUUUUGUUCCCAACGCAAGUUUACAAACUCGUUUACAAAUUUUGUUAGAGCACAUGCAGGCUGGCAGGUGUGAAUGAUAUUUUCAGACAAAAUUUGCAGCAGACACAAACUAACCAUACUGAUUUCAUACCUUUUUUUUUUCUUCAAAUCAAUUGUGUUGUUUGGAUGCCGUUUUAUUCUUGGCUUUUUGCCUCAUUCUGAUUGUUAUGAAUUUUCGUAACAGUCAUCAUCAGCAGGUGGUAAAAUAUGCUUUUCAUUUCACUUCUACAUGGAUUUGUCUCCCUAAUUGGUUAAUAGUUUUUUACAAGAAUCAGCUAACAGUUGGCCUUUAAAACGUUCCUAUGUGGCUAUGGUUAUUUAAUGUCUGCAUUAAAGCUAAUCCCAUUUCUCUCUGCUUGCUUUUCCUAGGUGUCCAAACCUGCAGUAUUUCAGCCUUCCUAGCACCUGUAUGACUUACGAUCAGUUCUGUAAGGCGAUAGGUGGACUUCAUUCGCUUAAAGGCAUGGCAGUGGAUGAGACUCUGAUUAACUAUGAUGUCCUCCUGCAUGUGCACCAGUGCUGCCCAGACUUUGUGGAGCUGAAGGUGUCUGCACUGUAUGUGGAUGAAGAGAUGGCCUCAGUCAUCUGUAACUCUCUUCCUCGUCUGAAGAAGCUGGAGAUACCAAGCGCUGACAUGUCUUCUGCCGCAAUAAUAAAGUUCCUUGAUUGCCUAGAGGAGCUCGAGCACCUGGACAUCUCAGGUUAUGAGACAUCAGCCAUCUCAAGCUUGGUUCUUGAGAAAGCUUCGCGGCUCAAGUUCUUCCUCUGGAACUCGAAAUUCGAGCUUGGGGAGUUCGUGGACUGCUCCAACUGUGGAGAGCACAACAUUAACCCUCAAGAACCCUGCAAGUGCAUGAUGGAGCACAAGGUCAUGGACUGGCUGGCUGGACCUUCACAGGCUUCCUGAGCCAAAGGCGUCUUUUUGUGUGUGUGUGUGUGUGUGUGUGUGUGUGUGUGUGUGUGUGUGUGUGUGUGUGUGUGUGUGUCUUGUUAAAUUAUGACGUUUUUCUGGCUGUAAAAUUCCAACCUCUGUCAAAGUUGGUGUUUGAGCCGUAUGUACAAGCAAAUAUGCUACUUCAAAUGUUUAGCUCACCCUCAUGCCUCCUCUGCAGUAACCAGAUUCGAGCGUUUCGCUCGAACAGCUCUCGGUAGGUGUUAUGAGUUAAGCAUCACGUUAACAUCUUUUGAAUUUGUAGCAAGUGUUAAUUUUGAAGGAAUGUAGCAAGUGGUGAUGAAACCUCUUUUUUUUAACCAAUAAAUCGAACAUCUCCUGUUGUUAUUGUUCGUAUUUUGUUCCCCAUGAACUAGCUAGGCGUGGAGAUAUGAAACAUCUGUGCCAAUUUGCAAGCGAUUUCGCCACGGAAUCAAACCUGUGGGGUCAUUUCUUGCAAGUCUGAGACUUGGAUACAUGUAGUACACGGUUUCCUGAGCCACAUCCUCAAGACUUGACUGCCACGCAAACACAUAGCUGGUGGACCAUAUGUGAACUUCUUCCACAGGAAAAACAUUGGAAAUUAGCUAGCACUAGCAAUCCUGUAUGAAUUUUUAAAUAAGAAACUUUGCUGUGGCGUGAUCAUAAUAAAUGCAAAACACAAGAAAACACUGGAAGACCUAAUGUUAUAUUUUUUUCCAUAAAAUUCGAUCCUAUGGAACAAACUAUAUAUUCAGUAUGGAUUUCAUCAUAAGAUCUAUGUAUGUCUCUAAUUCUUUGUUCAAAAAAAGGGUCAUAUGAAAAUAUGAUUCAAAUCAAACAAAUUUCCUUCGCGCGUGCUACGUUCCCAAGAGAACAAGGAACCCUGCUAGUCUGAUUUCAUUACAAAAAGUUUUCAUCAAGCAAUGUUUACAAGCAUACAAGUUUUAGUGCCCUCAGCCCAAUGUGUAUUUUCCCCACAGAAGAACAAAUGCAAUCAAAGACUGUUUCAUAAAUGGAGCAAGUAGAAGAUAUGCAGAGGAAAUUUCUCUUUUCUUGCAAAUCUGAAGAUUCCAAGCUUAAAAUAAGUUGUAACGCUUCACAUGUUACAGACCGUAGGGAAAAAAAAGAAGAAUUACUCAACAAACAACAAGUGAACUAAUGAACAACCCUAAUCGUGCUCCCUCCCAGCACCAAAUUGAAACCCGUUCUUGUUCGAUCCAAGAAGAAGACCUUGAGCGCCUAGUAGUCGAAGAAGUCGUCACCGUAGUCGUCGUCAUGCCUGCCGUCCAACGGACUCCACUGGCAGUUGAUGCACCGGAAAUUGCUCCUGCCGCCGUUGGUGGCCCGCGCGCCGCACACCGGGCACUUGUCCGCGAUCGGCGAAGCGAACUGGGGCCUCGGAGGCGUCGAACCCCUCCUCCGCCUGCCCAUCUGCGCCGGCUUCGCUUGCUUGGCUUGCUGCGAGUAGGUCGGUGGCGUCGGCGCCGCGGCUCUCGGCGUCGGCGGCGGUGCGGGUCUCCGAGCCAUCUGCACGACCUGAGGCCGCCGCGGCCUCGGUUCCGGCUCUGGCGCCCUCGGAUUCGGUGGCGCGGCCUGGCGCUGCGGCGGCGGCGGCGGCGCGGGUCGGUCGGCUGGCGCGGGCGCCGCGGUGCCAGGAGGAGGGUGCUUGGCCAAGAGCGCGUGCGAGGCGGCCUGGACGAGCAUGAACGCACCGUCGGCCGCGGCGCAGGGGUUCUUGUCGGGGUGCACGAGGAGGCAGAGCCGCCGGUGCUGCUUCUUGAUGUCGUCGUGGGUGACGCCGCCGCCGCCGCCGCCUCCGGGAUUUGGAUUCAGGCCCAGCACGGCGUACCAGUCGGUGGGGCUGCUCCGGGCCGCCGCCGCGUGGACGUCGUAGGCCGCUACGAUCUGCGGCGUGCCGGGGAGGUCCGGCGCCAGCCUGACCGCGGACUGCAUCCACUGCCUGGCGGCGAUGACGUUGCCGGCGAGGAAGCUCUUCUCGGCGAGCGCGUGAGCCUUGCGCGCCUGCUCUUCCUUCUCUUUCUCCUUCGACUCCGCCAUGGCUUCGGACGCGCUGGAUCGGUGUUACGAUUUGCGAAUUUGCGAUGUGCCAUACGCCGUGUUGCCGGCCCUAAGACAUUACCGUUCCUGUAUAUAUAGGCAAAGCGCAAAGGGGGAAACGAGGUAGCGUUCGAGUCCGAGUCGGUACUCGGUGCGGUGGUGGGCCCAGCAAAGGACUUUUUCUCAAUGGGGGUGAAGAACUGAAGUUUGCGCAUUCUAAGGCCUUGUUUAGUCAAAAACUAUGCAAAAAAAUUUUAAGAUUCUUCGUCACAUCAAAUCUUGCGACAUAUUCAUAGAGUAUUAAAUAUAGAUGAAUCUUUUGAUCUUAGUUAGUCCACGAUUGGACAAUAUUUGUCAAAUAAAAACGAAAAUGCUACGGUAGACGAAGACAAAAAAUUUUAGGAACUGAACAAGGCCUAAGCAGUUCCAAUACUUGAGCAACAUUACAUCUUGGUGAACGAGGAGGCGAAUUUUUUUUCUUUUUUUGUCGCAUAUGCAGUCUCUCUACUACUGGAUUCCUAUUAAGAAGUAUAUCUCAAUGCAAAUUCGUAUUGAGAUGUGUGUUUGUACACUUAUCAAUAAAAAUCCAGUGGUAAAGUGAGUAGGAGCAUAUGACCUCAAAGGUAAAAAUAACUUUACAGGUGAAGGAGCCAACAAUGCCCGCCAAGAGAGAAGACAAGAGCUUGAGGUUGGGCAUUUGGUUGAUUUGCUAGCUUGCAUGGGAGUCUGUACCAACAAACUUUUGCUAGCUUUUGUGAGAGCCGAAAUGGCUUGUUGGCCUAGGCGAGCGCCUCGCUGCUCAUGCUAGCUGGGCGAAGCGUCUCCAAAACCAAACGCGCCCUCAGGGUGUGUCAGCUAUUCCGUUUUUGCUCUUUCAAUUUUGCUUUUCCAAUCUUGAUGAUGAGAGUUUUUUUGACUUGGUUGGUCAACUGCAGUUUAGAAAAUAAAGGUCCCAAUGUCCAACUUGGGUAAGUGCGAGGCAAAGGAGGACGAUAACACGAAGGGGACUGAGAUGGAGAAGCUAGCUAGACCAGGCCAGCAUGGUGGUGCUAAGGGGGAGGGCCUUGGUUAUGGAGGAUGACCACGAAGACUUGGAGAUAUAUUGAUUGGAACAUAUAGGUAGACAUGAGAGGGGUGGAGUUUCAGGGUGUUCCAUGUUCGAAUAGCUUCGAGCACUCAGAGGCCUGCACCAUUUGUAGAACCUUUUUCCCAAGAUGGACACUCAGAGGGACUUCCACACCCUCACUAGCAAGAGCCUUAUGGGGCAACUUCGACACACGGCAUAUCCACGAGGCCAAGUUGAUUGAUGGGCCUUGGAUCAAGAGCUUCGAGCAUGUGGUAGAGAUCACCAAGAUAUUCUAGGCCAUUGAACUUGGGAGGUGGUUGCAUUCUGAUAUCAUUGGAACAAGACCACCAUUUAUCAGUUUUAUGCUAGUUUGGAGUUUGACUUCCAGGAAUAAGCUUUUCGAUGGAUUACUGGGGAGCACCGAUAUGGGUCCAUGUUAAGGGAGUUCGCAGUAGUGAUCAGCUUAAACUGCGGGUUGAUGCAAACAUGACUGCCCCCUUAGUCCAUCAAGUCACUAGAGGAUUUGUCUAUCGAGUCAAUAAAGGAUCACAUGAUUGUAAGGUUCUACUACCCGAGGGAGUUCGAGAAGGAGAGGCAAGGCAUCAUGAGAAGGAUUCCUAGCUACCAUGACCAUGGAUCUAUCGAGGAAGAAAAUUCCUCCCAAGGUAUAGAACCGGGACGUUGUGUUUCCUUUUACAUGAUGGUGGAUAGGGUGAUCACUACAGGAAACGGGAGCUUUGUCGAGGGCCCAGCUUUGCCGAGAGCCGGCCCUCGGCAAAGACAGCCUUCGCCAAUAGCCAAAAGGGACCCUCGGCAAAGAGUCUUUGCCGAUGGCUCAGCUCUCGGCAAAGCCAGGCGUUCGGCAAAGGCAAGCUUUGCCGAGAGCUUGACUCUCGGCAAAGACAGACUCUCGGCAAAGAAACCGCACAGGGGACGACUUCCGUUGUCGUCACCUUUGCCGAUAGCUGCGCCGUUAGGCUCUCGGCAAAGAGGAACCUUUGCCGAGCGCUGCAAUGCUGGCUCUCGGCAAAGAGCCCCUUUGCCGAGAGCCAGCACUGACCCUCGGCAAAGAGGAAUGGUUUGUUUUGUGUUUUGGACCCAAUUUUUUUUCUUUAACCCUUGCAUAUUGUAUACAAGCAUAUGUUCAAAUUUGAGAGCUUUUUCUAACAUUUUGCUAUAUUUUAUCAAUUAAAUUAUUUUCUUUGUAUUUUUCUCGAAAAAGUAAAUUUGAACUAUAGGAGCAUGAAAUAAUAAAAUAUAGCCAUUCAAAAAAUGAUAUUCAUGUUUGAGAGUGCAUUUUGAGGUUGUAUCCAUAAACUCACCCAAAAGUUUGAAUCUUUUGUAUACAAAACAUGAUCAUCCAUGUGUCGUAGAAGUGAUUUUUAAUUAUAUAAAUUCCAAAUAAAGUCCAAAAAUUAUGAAACUUGGCGACAUGUCGAGUUAUCGCAUGUGUAGGGUGUGAUAAAAAAUUCAUAAGGUUUAAAGAAAGUUACGACACCGAAUGUCUAAAUCCUAGACAUCUCCACAUGUGAUAACAUUUGAUCACAUGCGGAGAUGCUUGUGUUUUAGACAUCUGAUAUCGCAGCUUGCUCGAAACCUUAUGAAUUUUUUACCACAGCCUCCACAUGCUAUAACACGACACGUCGCGAAGUUUCGUGAUUUUUGGACUUUAUUUGGAAUUUAUAUAAUUAUAAAUCACUUUUCCAUCACAUUCCUCGACAUGUUAUGUCAGCAAGAGGGUUGAGAUUUAAUGUGUGGUUGUGGAUACGGCCUCAACGUACACCAAAUAUCUUGACUAUUAUUUUUCGAAUCAUUGAGUUCUAAUAUUUCAUGUACCUACAGUUGAAAUUUGAAUUAUGUGAAAAAAUUUAAAGAAACAAGAUUAAUUAGUUAAAUAUAGCAAAAAAAGUCAAAUUAAUGCCAAAUUUUAAAAUGUGUUUAGAAAUUGGAUCACAAGGACACAAAAAAAAACUCAACUCUAAAUUCAAAAAGAAUAAAAAAAGUCAACAGUUCUUUGCCGAGAGCCUGCGCGUUAGGCUCUCGGCAAAGGUGUUUGAAAAAAAAAUGAGUAUAAUUCUUUGCCGAGAACCUGGCUCUCGGCAAAGGAUAUUUUUCAAAAAAAAAAAGUUCUUAUCCCCACCCGGCCCAACCCCGCGCCUAACCCUAACGCACACACGCGCCCACCCUGCACGCCGCCGCCCGCUCGCUGCCGCCGCCGCCCGCGCGCCGUGCUCCACCGCCGCUGACCAAAUCCCCCGCGCACCGCCGGCCCACACCGCCCCCACCCCCGCCCCGGCCCGCCCUUCUCCGCCCCCGUGCGCCACCGCCGCUUCGCAAUAAUUAAUUCGUUGGGAAAAGAUAAACUUUUCCAGAUGGAUAGUCUUUUCCAGAUGGAAAAUAAUUAAUUCGUUGGGAUCAGAUGGAUAGUCUUUUUGUCCACUAAUAAUGCUCUCACAAUAAUUAAUUCGUUGGGAAAAGAUAAACUUUUCCAUUUGUACAUCGAUAGUGUGUGCCAAUUAAUUUAUGAUUUGACUAUUCUCAGAAUAUGCUACUAUCCUAGGUUGAGUUUUAGGAUUUGCAUGUAUAUGUCUAAUUGAUACUUGUGGGUCAACACAUGAAAUGCAUCUUCAAAAUAUACGUUGUUGGCCAUCGAGCCGACUUUUUUUUGCAGGUUUUGGAAACCUCCCCCUGCAUCGCAUUAAUGCCUAUGCCCUAAUUUAAGACGGCAUUGGUCUUCUUAGGAUUCUAGUACUGCUGGUAGCAGAGAUGUAUUUUUUUUCCUUUUCGUGGUUAGUAAUGCAUGGUUGAAUGUUCUGAAAACUGUCUUUGUUAAUGCUCCUGCAGUAUAAAAGCUUAUAAUCUGAUAGUACAGCUUGGUUAAACUGUCUUUGUUAAUGCUCCUGCAUGGUUGAAUGCUCCUGCAGUAUAAAAGCUGGUAGCAGAGAUGUAUAAAAAGCUUAUAAAUUGUCUUUGUUAACACUGUAAACUGAUAGUACAUCAGCUCAUUAAUUUCCAGGACAUAUAUAUAAGAAAUAUGAAUUCAGUUUGGUGAGCCUUCUGUAUAUUCUCAAUGCUAUAAAAACUUAGAGAUGUCUUAUGUUUUGAUGUUAUGUGACACAACUUAACCCCCAUCCUUCCCACUGUAGUGUGUUUAUGUAUACGUUGAGUGUGUAGGUUGAGUGAGUUCAAAUAUAUUGAAUCAAGGUGUUUCCUUUUUAGCCUUAUUUGUUUUUGGAGUGUGUGUUUUUUUAUCAUUGGUUUUUAGUUUUCAUGUCUCUUUUAGGCCUAACAUAUCACUUUAUUUUUUAAUACAACUGAACGCUGCUAAAGUCAUUGCUGUUGGCCCUGGUGAUCAUGAUAGGGAUGGUAAGCUGAUCUCUGUAUCUCUAAGUGAAGGCGACACUAUUAUGCUUCCGGAGUAUGGUGGAACAAAAGUGAAGCUUGCUGAAAGAGUAUGUUAACAUAUGCAUGUCCUUUUGACUUGGCACUAUAUUCUCUCUCCCCUCCCUUUUCUGUUGCUGUUGCUUUGUACACCUAAAUCAAAGAAUUCAAGAAUAGAACACCUGGAUAUUUGUCAUUGACGGUCUUCUUGUCCGAAUUGUGGAUGUGUGGCCUUCGUGCCAUAUAUGUGAAAUGUGGAUGUGUGGCCUUCGUGUCAUAUAUGUGCUCUCGGCAAA
rnacentral:lncRNA from 1 species